rnacentral:tRNA from 7 species
GGGCGGUUAGCUCAGUGGUAGAGCGCUUCGUUUACACCGAAGAUGUCGGGAGUUCGACCCUCUCACCGCCCACCA